GGACGAACGCUGGCGGCGUGCUUAACACAUGCAAGUCGAACGAUGAAGCCUAGCUUGCUGGGUGGAUUAGUGGCGAACGGGUGAGUAACACGUGAGUAACCUGCCCUUCACUCUGGGAUAAGCGCUGGAAACGGCGUCUAAUACUGGAUAUGACCUUACACCGCAUGGUGUUUGGUGGAAAGUUUUUUCGGUGGGGGAUGGACUCGCGGCCUAUCAGCUUGAUGGUGAGGUAAUGGCUCACCAUGGCGACGACGGGUAGCCGGCCUGAGAGGGUGACCGGCCACACUGGGACUGAGACACGGCCCAGACUCCUACGGGAGGCAGCAGUGGGGAAUAUUGCACAAUGGGCGCAAGCCUGAUGCAGCAACGCCGCGUGAGGGAUGACGGCCUUCGGGUUGUAAACCUCUUUUAGUAGGGAAGAAGCGGAAGUGACGGUACCUACAGAAAAAGCACCGGCUAACUACGU
rnacentral:rRNA from 1 species